CAUUCCGGGAUGGGGGAAAAAUGUGCUCUGGAUGCCUAACAGAGCCACGGGGCCACUGCCAAAUAGCCUCGGUACGGAACUCGUUUUGGUGGAACGUGUGUACGUUCAGAAGUUGUUUUAGUCGUGCAACAGAAAACUCAGAUUGGACAGAUAGUCACGCUAGCUGUCUGGAUUUACCCUGCAGAGAUCUGAGGACCA